rnacentral:ncRNA from 1 species
AGGUGAGUAAGUCCCUCUCGAAAAGAAUGAGGCCGCCAAUUGGCGGGGGGACGAAGUAGAGAGGGGUUCACUA